rnacentral:rRNA from 1 species
UUGAACGCUGGCGGCAGGCCUAACCCCUGCCAGUCGAGCGGAUGAAGGGAGCUUGCUCCUGGAUUCAGCGGCGGACGGGUGAGUAAUGCCUAGGAAUCUGCCUGGUAGUGGGGGAUAACGUCCGGAAACGGGCGCUAAUACCGCAUACGUCCUGAGGGAGAAAGUGGGGGAUCUUCGGACCCCACGCUAUCAGAUGAGCCUAGGUCGGAUUAGCUAGUUGGUGGGGUAAAGGCCUACCAAGGCGACGAUCCGUAACUGGUCUGAGAGGAUGAUCAGUCACACUGGAACUGAGACACGGUCCAGACUCCUACGGGAGGCAGCAGUGGGGAAUAUUGGACAAUGGGCGAAAGCCUGAUCCAGCCAUGCCGCGUGUGUGAAGAAGGUCUUCGGAUUGUAAAGCACUUUAAGUUGGGAGGAAGGGCAGUAAGUUAAUACCUUGCUGUUUUGACGUUACCAACAGAAUAAGCACCGGCUAACUUCGUG